rnacentral:rRNA from 1 species
CCGAUAAGGAGGGUUAGAUUCCCUCCCGCUGUAAGACCAAGGUUUCCCGGGCAAUGCCAGUCAGCCCGGGGUCAGUCGGGUCCUAAGUCUAAGCCGAACGGCGAUGGCGAUGGCAGAGACGGUUAAUAUUCCGUCACUGCCGCAUGGGGCGACGUGGAGACGGAGCAGUGAAACCACCGCGGGGCGACGGAAGUCCCCGUUGAAGAGUGUAGGUGUUGAGGAUGGCAGGCAAAUCCACCGUCCGAGCUGAACUUGAUAGUAUGGAGUCUUCUUCGGAAGAAUCCAAUAGUGUGGGUAAUCAUACUCCCGAGAAAAUCCGCUAAGCUUAACCCAUGCGGCACCCGUACCGCAAACGGACACACGUGGUCGGGUAGAACAUACUGAGGCGUUGAGAGAUUCAUGGUUAAGGAACUAGGCAAAUUGACCCUGUAACUUCGGGAUAAAGGGUCCUCGUGAAUAGCGAGGCGCAGAGAAUAGGUCCAGGCAACUGUUUAACAAAAACACAGGGCUGUGCAAACUCGAAAGAUGACGUAUACAGCCUGACACUGCCCGGUGCCGGAAGGUUAAGAGGAGAUGUCACUAGCAAUAGGAAGCAUUGAAUUGAAGCCCCGGUAAACGGCGGCCGUAACAAUAACGGUCCUAAGGUAGCGAAAUUCCUUGUCGGGUAAGUUCCGACCUGCACGAAUGGUGUAAUGAUCCGGACGCUGUCUCAACCAUGAGCUCAGUGAAAUUGUAGUAUCGGUGAAGAUGCCGAUUACCCGCGAUGGGACGAAAAGACCCCGUGAACCUUUACUACAGCUUAGCAUUGACCUUGGUCAUCCGGUGUGUAGGAUAGGCCGGAGGCUUCGAAGCGGGAGCGCCAGCUUUCGUGGAGCCAUCCUUGAAAUACGGCCCUUUGGCUGUCUGAGGUCUAACGCGUGAAACGCGGACACUGCUUGGUGGGUAGUUUGACUGGGGUGGUCGCCUCCAAAAGCGUAACGGAGGCUUCCAAAGGUGCCCUCGGGUCGAUUGGUAACCGACCUCAAAGAGUGCAAUGGCAUAAGGGCGCUUGACUGGGAGGCAGACAUGCCGAGCAGGCAGGAAACUGGGGCAUAGUGAUCCGGCGGAUGUGUAUGGAAACUCCGUCGCUCAAAGGAUAAAAGGUACUCCGGGGAUAACAGGCUGAUCCCCCCCAAGAGCUCAUAUCGACGGGGUGGUUUGGCACCUCGAUGUCGGCUCGUCACAUCCUGGGGCUGGAGAAGGUCCCAAGGGUUGGGCUGUUCGCCCAUUAAAGUGGCACGCGAGCUGGGUUCAGAACGUCGUGAGACAGUUCGGUCUCUAUCUAUCGUGGGCGUGGGAGUUUUGAGUGGUGCCGUCACUAGUACGAGAGGACCGUGAUGGACAGACCUCCGGUUUACCAGUUGUGCCGCCAGGCGCACCGCUGGGUAUCUGAGUCUGGAUUGGAUAAGCGCUGAAAGCAUCUAAGUGCGAAGCCGGCCGCAAGAUGAGAACUCCAUUGAGGGUCGUCAGAGACGAUGACGUUGAUAGGAUGCAGGUGUAAAGACAGCGAUGUCAAAGCCGAGCAUUACUAAUUGCCCAG